ensembl:lncRNA
GGAAGAUUUCUGUCAGUUGGAGGCCAGCUUGGUCUACACAGUGAGUUCAAGGCCACCCUGGAAUACAUAGUGAGACCCUGUCUCCAAAAUAAAAGAGCUUGUGUCCAGAUCCAUCAGAAGAGUAAAGGAUGUCCUGAACCGGUGCCCGGUGUGGAAAAUGGACAGAUAAGCAAGAGGCGUUUAAUGCAGACCAAGCUUUCAUCAGAAAAAGAAAUCACAGCCAGCAAUGAUUCAUAGAAACGGAGACCUCCCAGAAUCCCUGGAGCUACUUCGAAGGAUAUUGGGUUUCUGAUCAUACAGGGGUUGAUGGCGGUUCUGGCAGUUAGCAAGAGCGAGAUCCUGUGUGAAGGCACAGUCAGAGCAGCUGCAUAGGUGUGAUCCCUGCCUUUUGCUGAAAGCAAGAGGACUAGAACUUCAGCACCGCUCAUCUCCCUUGAACUUCACUUAUCAAUCCUUUAGAUGCUCCGUGCUGGAGGCAGCAGGGAGUGAGGUUUGUUUCCAAUGCAGCCGUGGGAAUCCUCAAAUUUAGCCUCUGCCCAGAGGCAGGUGCAACACAGUCAUUCUCUGAUUCACCCUCCACCCCCAUUUCAGCAAUAAAACAUCUGCUUGAAAAGAAGUAAACCAGG